GACGAACGCUGGCGGCGUGCUUAACACGUGCAAGUCGAACGGAAAGGCCCUGCUUUUGUGGGGUGCUCGAGUGGCGAACGGGUGAGUAACACGUGAGUAACCUGAUCUUGACUUUGGGAUAACUUCAGGAAACUGGGGUUAAUCUCGGAUAGGAGCUCCUGUUGCAUGGUGGGGGUUGGAAAGUUUCGGCGGUUGGGGAUGGACUAGCGGCUUAUCGGCUUGUUGGUGGGGUAGUGGCUUACCAAGGCUUGGACGGGUCGUCGGCCUGUGAGGGUGACCGGCGACAUUGGGACUAAGAGACGGCCCAGUCUGCUACAGGAGGCAGCAGUGGGGAAUAUUACACAAUGGGCGGAAGCCUGAUGCAGCAACGCCGCGUGCGGGAUGACGGCCUUCGGGUAGUAAACCGCUGUCGCCUGUGACGAAGCUGGAGUGACGGUAAUGGGUGAAGAAGCACCGGCUAACUACGUG
rnacentral:rRNA from 1 species